rnacentral:lncRNA from 1 species
AGAGAAAUGAAAGUCAUAGAAAUUUGAAAUAAAGAAAUAAAACUAUCACUGUUUUGUGGACAAUGAGAUGUGUAUAUAAAAGUUCCCUUUAAUUUCAUAAUUUAUGAGAUUGAGUUUAUCAAGUUGGCUGGUUGAGGUGUCUUAGUCUGUUUUGUGUUGCUAUAACAGAAUACCAGGGACUGGGUAAUUUAUAAAGAAAAGACAUUUCUUACAGUUCUAGAGACUAGGAAAUCCAAGGUCAAGGAAACCACAUCCCGUGAGGGUCUUCUUGCUGCACAUCACCCCAUGGCAGAGAGUGGAAGGGCAAUGGAAGGUGAGAGAAAGAAGGCAAGAGGGAACUGUUCUCACUUUUGUUAACAAGCCCACUCUUGCAAUACUUGCAAGCCCACUUUCUUGGUAACACUAAUCCAUUCAUGAAGGCAGAGCCCUUAUGUCCUAGUUACUUUUUAUUAGGCCCCACCUCCCAACACUGUUGCAUUGUGUAGUAAGUUUCCUACACAUGAACUUUGGGGAAACAUUCAAACCAUAACACAAAGUUAAUAUACAAAAGUCAACUGUGUUUCAAUUUAAUAAAUUUAGAAAAUAAAAAUUUAAAACAGCUCUCAUAUUAUUGAGUGAAAGACACAAAUACAUACUAAUGAGUCCAUAUAUAUAAAGCUCAAAAGCAGGUGAAACAAUACCGCCGUGUUAACACUACCGUACUUAAGUUUGAGGAGGAGGGAAUGAUAGAGGUUUAGCAGGGACAUGAGGUGGACUUUUGACUUGGGUAGCUGUUCAAUGUUAUAUAUAUGGGAAAACAUGUGUUGUGCACUUUUCUACAUGUGUAUAUUCUUCACAAUAUUUUAAAUAAAUAAAGCAAGCAACUAUGUAUUAGCAGAUAGAAAAAUGAUAAAGUAAUAGAUCUAAUACCUGGUUAUUUAAAAUAAAUAAAUAGAUAAACUUCUGGCUGAUUUAAAGCAGAAUAAAAAGUGAAAAAGUCAAUUACAUAAAAUAGGAAAAUAUAAUUUACGGGUAACUAAAGAACCAAGGACAGUAAAAGCUUAUCAGUAUACUUAUUUGUUCAAAUAUAUGCAAAACAAAUACCUGGAAUUAAAUAUAAUGAACAAUGACAAAAAGCUAAAACUUAACAAGGUAUAAAAAC